UACGUAGGGGGCAAGCGUUAUCCGGAUUUACUGGGUGUAAAGGGAGCGUAGACGGCGAUGCAAGCCAGAUGUGAAAGCCCGGGGCUCAACCCCGGGACUGCAUUUGGAACUGUAUAGCUAGAGUGUCGGAGAGGCAGGCGGAAUUCCUAGUGUAGCGGUGAAAUGCGUAGAUAUUAGGAGGAACACCAGUGGCGAAGGCGGCCUGCUGGACGAUGACUGACGGUGAGGCGCGAAAGCGUGGGGAGCAAACAGG
rnacentral:rRNA from 1 species